rnacentral:rRNA from 1 species
GCAGUCGACGAUGAUGCCCAGCUUGCUGGGUGGAUUAGUGGCGAACGGGUGAGUAACACGUGAGUAACCUGCCCCUGACUCUGGGAUAAGCGUUGGAAACGACGUCUAAUACUGGAUAUGACUGCCGGCCGCAUGGUCUGGUGGUGGAAAGAUUUUUUGGUUGGGGAUGGACUCGCGGCCUAUCAGCUUGUUGGUGAGGUAAUGGCUCACCAAGGCGACGACGGGUAGCCGGCCUGAGAGGGUGACCGGCCACACUGGGACUGAGACACGGCCCAGACUCCUACGGGAGGCAGCAGUGGGGAAUAUUGCACAAUGGGCGAAAGCCUGAUGCAGCAACGCCGCGUGAGGGAUGACGGCCUUCGGGUUGUAAACCUCUUUUAGUAGGGAAGAAGCGAAAGUGACGGUACCUGCAGAAAAAGCACCGGCUAACUACGUGCCAGCAGCCGCGGUAAUACGUAGGGUGCAAGCGUUGUCCGGAAUUAUUGGGCGUAAAGAGCUCGUAGGCGGUUUGUCGCGUCUGCUGUGAAAUCCCGAGGCUCAACCUCGGGCUUGCAGUGGGUACGGGCAGACUAGAGUGCGGUAGGGGAGAUUGGAAUUCCUGGUGUAGCGGUGGAAUGCGCAGAUAUCAGGAGGAACACCGAUGGCGAAGGCAGAUCUCUGGGCCGUAACUGACGCUGAGGAGCGAAAGCGUGGGGAGCGAACAGGAUUAGAUACCCUGGUAGUCCACGCCGUAAACGUUGGGCGCUAGAUGUAGGGACCUUUCCACGGUUUCUGUGUCGUAGCUAACGCAUUAAGCGCCCCGCCUGGGGAGUACGGCCGCAAGGCUAAAACUCAAAGGAAUUGACGGGGGCCCGCACAAGCGGGCGGAGCAUGCGGUAUUAAUUCGAUGCAACGCGGAAGAACCUUUACCAAGGCCUUGACAUCACACCGGUAAACGGCCAGAGAUGGUCGCCCCCUUGUGGUCGGUGUACAGGUGGUGCAUGGUUGUCGUCAGCUCGUGUCGUGAGAUGUUGGGUUAAGUCCCGCAACGAGCGCAACCCUCGUUCUAUGUUGCCAGCGCGUUAUGGCGGGGACUCAUAGGAGACUGCCGGGGUCAACUCGGAGGAAGGUGGGGAUGACGUCAAAUCAUCAUGCCCCUUAUGUCUUGGGCUUCACGCAUGCUACAAUGGCCGGUACAAAGGGCUGCGAUACCGUAAGGUGGAGCGAAUCCCAAAAAGCCGGUCUCAGUUCGGAUUGAGGUCUGCAACUCGACCUCAUGAAGUCGGAGUCGCUAGUAAUCGCAGAUCAGCAACGCUGCGGUGAAUACGUUCCCGGGCCUUGUACACACCGCCCGUCAAGUCAUGAAAGUCGGUAACACCCGAAGCCGGUGGCCUAACC